CCUACGGGCGGCAGCAGUGGGGAAUAUUGGACAAUGGGGGGAACCCUGAUCCAGCCAUGCCGCGUGUGUGAAGAAGGCCCUCGGGUUGUAAAGCACUUUCAGUGAGGAAGAACGCCUGGUGGUUAAUACCCAUCAGGAAAGACAUCACUCACAGAAGAAGCACCGGCUAACUCCGUGCCAGCAGCCGCGGUAAUACGGAGGGUGCGAGCGUUAAUCGGAAUUACUGGGCGUAAAGCGCGCGUAGGUGGCUUGAUAAGCCGGUUGUGAAAGCCCCGGGCUCAAACUGGGAACGGCAUCCGGAACUGUCAAGCUAGAGUGCAGGAGAGGAAGGUAGAAUUCCCGGUGUAGCGGUGAAAUGCGUAGAGAUCGGGAGGAAUACCAGUGGCGAAGGCGGCCUUCUGGACUGACACUGACACUGAGGUGCGAAAGCGUGGGUAGCAAACAGGAUUAGAUACCCUAGUAGUC
rnacentral:rRNA from 1 species